UAGGGAAUCUUCCACAAUGGACGCAAGUCUGAUGGAGCAACGCCGCGUGAGUGAAGAAGGUCCUCGGAUCGUAAAGCUCUGUUGUUGGUGAAGAAGGAUAGAGGCAGUAACUGGUCUUUAUUUGACGGUAAUCAACCAGAAAGUCACGGCUAACUACGUGCCAGCAGCCGCGGUAAUACGUAGGUGGCAAGCGUUGUCCGGAUUUAUUGGGCGUAAAGCGAGCGCAGGCGGAAUGAUAAGUCUGAUGUGAAAGCCCACGGCUCAACCGUGGAACUGCAUCGGAAACUGUCAUUCUUGAGUGCAGAAGAGGAGAGUGGAACUCCAUGUGUAGCGGUGGAAUGCGUAGAUAUAUGGAAGAACACCAGUGGCGAAGGCGGCUCUCUGGUCUGCAACUGACGCUGAGGCUCGAAAGCAUGGGUAGCGAACAGAUUAGAUACCCUGGUAGUCCAUGCCGUAAACGAUGAGCGCUAGGUGUUGGGGG
rnacentral:rRNA from 1 species